UCACAUAGAGAGUAAUCUGUACAGAUGGUUAUAACUAUACAUGUCUCAUACACUGGUGCAAUCAUGAGUAAAUGAAUAUUAAACAAAAAAUCAUAAUCAUGUACAGGCUGGGGUCUUCAGUAUUACAGUGAUAUUUUAUGACAGUAGUGAUGACAUUCUCUCUUUCUGACCAAUUUAAAACACUUAAAUGAAUUAUAGUAUUUAUUAUAUACUCAAACAUUCCAAUCACCAUAAUGAUGUCUGAAGAAUUUUGGCUCCUUAUUUGUCAAGAACGUUCCAAUAUCUAUUUUUUUCCAUAUUGAGGCAUAUAGAGUACGAGAUUUCUAUCAAUUUAGAAACAUGAACAAAUUAUUAUUAUAAUUUCAAUGUUAUUUAAUUGAUCUAUGAUGUGUUGAAAAUUUAGCAUUCCAUCUAAAUAUGUAAACAAUAUUUGACCUUUAUGUUAUCAAUUUACAUUAUAUGAAUCCAAUACAUUACAAAUGUUCUUGUACAUGCUGUCAAUCAAAUCUAAAAAAGCAUAUUGGUACUGUCAUGAAGAAUUGUGCAAAAAUGAAAUAAUUGUUCAAAAAAUCUACAACCAUCAGCUUCAAACUUUCUGGUCUCUUUUUUUUAUGUUCUAUAAUACUAAACCUUUGUCUGGAUUUAUUUGUUUGAUUUAUGCUGCAGAUGGGUUUUUUUUUUCAUUGGUUGCUGUUAAGUUUUACUACAUGUAUAUCAUUGAAAUUUACAAUUUAAAAAAAGAUUUUCUCAACUUGCUUAUUUCAUGAAAACGAUACUAGCAAGGGUAGCAAUAAGUCAUUAAUUGGAAAUAAUGCAUCAUGUUGAAAUAUUUUAACACUGGUGAUCAUACCUUGCUCAAAAAUAUUUCUGCUUACUGUUUUCCUCCAUUUUUAUUGCUUUUAUUUGUCAAUUUUUUCCCAGUCAAACGGGUGCUAACUUCACAUUGUUAUUCUAUUAAUAUCAUAAAUUGUUUUUGAUUGGUUAAAACAAAAUAAAAUAUAGAAAACUUU
rnacentral:sRNA from 1 species